GCUCCCUUCCCUACGGCUGGACCGACAGAAAAACCGACUGGAUUUUUUCCUGGGACAAUGAAAUAAUGAGCAGCAGCCAGGCUCCUAGGCAAAGGUAGUAGGUGGGGAAAGCAGCCUAGCUCUCAGGCGCGCAAUCCCCUCUCCUCACGCUGCCGCCGUCCCCGGGAGGUGGGAGAACGAGCCGGCUUUCCCGGACAGGUGACUUGGAAUCAGCAGUGUUUUGAAGAGUGCAGCGCAGAAACCAUGACUGCCCUCAAACUAAAAUCAUUUUGCAGGAAGUGGAAAUCAGAUGAGGCUCACAGAACUACAGCCACCAUGAUAUAUUUUUCAGCACUGAGAAGGGGAUAGAAAGUGUGUUUAAGUUUGCUUUAUCUUAUUAUAGCUUUCCAGCCUUCCUUCAUUUUUUAAGCAAAUCAGGAAACUUCACUGAAGAUAAUCUUGCCAUAGAUUUAACGCUCAGAGCAGUGGCUCUUACUCAACAGAAAUAGUCACCAUUUUAAAAAUGGUUGCUGGGCCACACAUGGGAGAUUCAGGAUAUUUUCUAUUUAUAAAUAUUUACAAACAGGUAAGUAUAUGACUUUUUCCUUGCUGAUGAGCUAUUUACUCUCUUUCACACAUGCACGCAGAAAGAGCUACUUAGAACACACUUGGAUUCAAGUCCAGUCAAUGAAUAAAUUACACAAAUGGGUUUCAUUGCUUCUAUAAUUGCCACAUAUAACUAAACAGCAAAAAUGUUCAAAAAUGCUAAUAUAACAUAAUUCUGAGAAUCUUUUGAGAAAGCCCAAAACAGUAAUACACGAACAACUUAAAAAGAACUCUCUAAAAAAGGCUAGAUUACAUGUUUGGAAAGUUCCUGUUUUUGUCUAACAACACUAUUUUACGUCACUAAUGGUGAAGAACUGCAUUUUUAAACAAGAAAUAACUGCAAUCUGGUAGCAGCUAAACUAUUCCAACAGGUGUAUGUAGUACGUUUGGGAUACAUGUUAAGGACUGGUAGAUCUACAUGCUCAAUGCUGAUCGGCAAAAUGGGAAAGAGCUGUGCACAGAUUUACAGCCCUUGUUACAUACUGGCACAUUUUCUUUGUUCUUUAGGGUGACACAAAACACUAUCCUAUCUUUUCCUACGUAUCCAUUGUCACCACAAAGCUAUCGAUCCAAGAAAAGAUUGCUCUUCUGAAUGGAGCCAUCAGGUCAAACUUCAGAAAUCUUUUCACUUCUGUCCCAGGGAGGAGGAAUGAUUGAAAGGCAGUGAGCAACCUUUGUUUGGAAAUGGAUGCAGAAAUUGAGGUAAAGCUUUUACUUGUCAUGUUGAGACCGCUGAAAGAAGUUGCCUUUUUUUAUUUUUCAGUAAACAGGACUUACACAUUCUGAUAAAUGAAGGUGUCUUGUGACCUGACUGGUGUCAGAAGCCCUUACAUUCACUGCUGGGAUGCCAUGCAGCUGGUCUCGCAGUCAGAACCCUUUCGGCUAACAGCACAGCAGACACACCGCUGCUGAGUGUAAGCUGCGCAGGCAGCACUAGGACACAAAUAUGCCCUCCGGAUUCUACAUUCCUAUUGCUAUUUGACUCUAGAUCACUUUAUUUUUGUGCUGCUGACUGAACAGACUCUAUGAUCCAUACAUGGCCCAGAAAAUCUUCUGAAUACCUCAAAGACCGUUAACAAUUAUGCAUCUCUUGGACCAUUUCCAUUUAAGGAGAACCUCUUCCAGAGAUACUGAUCCACUGCUGACUUGUACGAACAGUGAUUUACCCAUGUGAAGAUUGGUGUGGCUCCUUUGUUUUUCUAUAUGUGACUAUUCUUAAAGCUUGCCACAGUGGGAGGCACACUUGCUCACUCACGUACAUUGCUUUUGCAUAACACACAACCUGAUAUUAGAUUCAUUUCCUCAGCAUGUGUAAAACUCCUUUCAGAAACUUAGCUUUCUGAUCUUUUACUUAUUCUAUCUCCAUUUUAUUUUAUUUUAUUUUAUUUUAUUUUAUUUUAUUUUAUUUUAUUUUUUUAACUUUAUUUAGCACCUGGGAGGAUGUAGAAAGCAAGUUGUCAGAUUUGGAACUAGAAUGACCUUUCUUCCAAAGAAGGACAACCGUGUAACAAGAAUGGCAGGGCUUUUCCCCGGGUACCUGAGUCAAAACCCAUACGAGCAAACAAGAAAAUACUUUACCAGGUUCUGGAUCAGACCCAGAACACCGCGGACAGGAGAAUUUCAAUACUAGCCCAGUGUGCGCAGUGUAAUUUGACCCGGGGUGUGAUAUAGAUUUGAAUGACAGCUGAAGUCCCACUAUAGUGCAGAACUUUGCUGGGAGUGGUGCCCUCAACUAUUGCUACUGAGUUGGCAAAAUCCCUAGUUGCCAGCCUGAGUCUAGCUGAGAAAUUUGGUUUAUGCCAGCUGAAAAUUUGGCCCCUGGUCAUUAAAGAUGGGAAAAUGAGCUUCUGAGUUAGAAUACCUCAUGCUGAGAAGAGCCACAGCCCCCUUUACUCCCUAAGAAGAGGGAACCAAGCAGACCACCCUGCUUAUCCAUGCCCUCUGGUACCCUUGGGCAGAAUGUGUAGCUCCCUCAUUCAGGCAGGGCAAGUAGAGCAGAUGACUGACUUCUCACAGGUAUUUUCAAGCUAGUUUGGUGUAACAGAAAGACAAAUCUUUUUGCUUUGUUUUUCUACAGCACCUAGCACAGCAAAGUCCUGGUCCAUUACCGAAACUGUCAGGGACUUUUGCAGUACAUACAACAAGUAUAUAAUGCAUCUGCUAGAGCACUCACAAACCUUUCAUGUUAUUUAUGUGCUAAUCUGAACAGCAUGGGCUAGAUUUUGAUCUUAGCUAUUCUGGUGUAAAUGAGAUACGGGUUUGGCCUUACAUCCGUAAGAUCUACAGUAUAUCAGUGUUUCUAAUGUGCUCAUCAUGGAAAUAUCUUGGCAUUGUGCAGCUGGCCCACUUCAGUGUGACUAGAAUAGCAAAGCAUUAUAUUAAGCAAACAGAACAGUUUGAUUUAUAGAUUUGUGGUAAGAAUAGUUCAGUUUUCCAGGGUGUUCAACUUAAUUAACAUUCUCCAGGGAAAAAACUGCUAUUGUUUCCCUAACCACAUGCCUUCCAAUACAAAAUAAACUCUUGCUGGUGUGUAUGUGCUGCUUAA